rnacentral:rRNA from 1 species
AGCAGCCGCGGUAAUACGGAGGGUGCGAGCGUUAAUCGGAAUUACUGGGCGUAAAGCGCAUGCAGGCGGCCUGUUAAGUCAGAUGUGAAAGACCCGGGGCGUUAACCUCGGAAAUUGCAUUUGAAACUAGGCAGGCUAGAGUCUUGUAGAGGGGGGUAGGAAGUUUACUACGGUGUAGCGGUGAAAUAGCGUAGAGAUCUGAAGGAAUACCAGUGGCGAAGGCGGCCCCCUCGGACAAAGACUGACGCUCAGAUGCGAAAGCGUGGGGAGCAAACAGGAUUAGAUACCCUGGUAG